rnacentral:rRNA from 1 species
CCGGCGACCGGCGGACGGGUGCGUAACGCGUAUGUAACCUACCUUUGACAGGGGGAUAACAUCGAGAAAUUGGUACUAAUACCCCAUAACAUCACCGGAGGCAUCUUCGGUGGUUGAAAACUCAGGUGGUCAGAGAUGGACAUGCGUUGUAUUAGCUAGUUGGUGAGGUAACGGCUCACCAAGGCGACGAUACAUAGGGGGACUGAGAGGUCAACCCCCCCACAUUGGUACUGAGACACGGACCAAACUCCUACGGGAGGCAGCAG